UCAAAAAAUAGAAACAACCAGUUUGUCCAAUUUUCUCAACUCUAACAUGUAGUUUCUACUUAAAUAAAAUGUGAUUGUAGAUUUACACAAUAACUUUGUGUAAAUUUAACGUAAAACCUUAAAACUCACUAUUUACUUGAUUAAUUCAUGUUGUGCUAACAUGAAGGAUUCAAGUUCAGAUACAGACACGGAAAUUCCCGGACACUGUCGCGAGGUAAAAAGAGAACAGCGAGCAGCAGGCAAAACGAGGAGCAUGUGGAAAGUUUAAGAUUGUUGAAAGAUGUCGACACCAGCAAAGCUGCGAGUAAUCUUGGGAGAAAACAACUCACACAAAUUGAUUUUCCCAGAUGGCAUUCCAGGAUCUGUCAGUGAACUUACAGAGAAUAUAAAAAAACAAUGUGGAAUACAAGGAAGUUUCAGACUUCAAUAUAUGGAUGUUGACUUUGGCAAUGAGUUCACCAACUUGGAAUCAAUGUCAGAUGUCAUGGAUAAAGGUACUCUUAGAGUAAUCUUGGAUGCAGAAACGCCUCGCCUAUCUGAUGGAUCUCCACCACCUUCUUACUCGGCGGCUGCAGCUUCCCAGUCACCAGAUGACCGCUCUUCAUUUGCAUCUGGUAACUCAUUUGACACAGAUAUCCUGUCUUCUUCUGAAUCAACCUCUUCUCGGUCAUCCAGUUGGCCCCUUGUUUUCAGCAUUCCUAAGUUUUCUUAUGAAACUGAACUGCAGCUUGAAAAAGCCAACACAGCUUUCAGAGAAACUUGAUCCUUGUUGAAUCCUGAUGUAAAACUUAAGUCAGCAAUCAUGGAUGGUUUGAUGGAAACUAUUGUCAAGCACAAAGUGUACCUCUCUGAUGCAGAGUUCAGUGAGGUAGCAGCAGCUCUUAUAACGGCACAUCCUUGCUUGAAAGAGCCAGGUUCCAUAAGUGGAUUUGGUGGUUGGAAGACAAGUUUAAAAUAUAAACUUGGGAACUACAGAUCAAAGCUCAGGAGACUUGGAUGUCCAGAAGUGACUGUGAAUUCUCUGAAACACAAACCUGAUGAUCGUUGCAGUCCUGCCUAUGGUGUUAAGAAACCUAAAAAGGCUGAAGUGAAUUACUGCCCACCAUAUCCAGCCGGUGAAACAGCUGAAACUUUGGAGCAGAUAAGAGUAAAACUCCUGUCUGAAGUAAUGAUUCGAAAUAAUGAAGACAAAGUAGCUGCCAUGAUGGACAAAACGUUUGCACUAAGACGUCUUGAGGUAGUCCAAGAUGCACCCAUGGUAGCGGAUUUCAAAGCAAGGUGGCCAGGUCUCUUUAAUGUGAGGGAGGUGAAAGCAGAAUUCAAGAGGAUAACCACAGUUGAGCUGCAGUCCAAGUUCUUCUCGCAACUUGAUGCACAUUCUGAAAACUUGAUGAAAGUGUUUGCCAGAAAAGGAGGAGUCCUUGGGAAAAAGAUAAAGGCAGUGAUGCUUCCAAUGACUCGGUGGAUGACAUACAGGGUGCACCCAUGGCAGGUUGUAAGUCUCUUCAUAGGCCAACAGAGACCACAGACUUGAACUGCCUAAUGGAUAUAAAGUUAAGAGCAUUUUAUUAAAAUGCUGACAGCAUUGAUGUCAAAAGAGAAUGCAUCCUCAGAGGCUUGACAGUGUACUUAAAUGAGGAUCCACAAAAAUUUGUGAAGGACUACACGACUGAUGAUCAGUGUAUCGAAAGAGACCUGGCAGAAACGGUCUUUGGGAUCUAUGUGGUUCGACACAAUGGUGCAGACCGUGAUGACGAUCCUGAGGACAUUGGAAUCGUUUUGGAGGGGGUAGAGGUACUGAGUGGUUUGAGAAGUGUCCCAUUCGCAAUGGCAAUGUUUCUCGGACUUGUGUAUUCUCUGAACAUUAGUUACCCUCCAGAAUUAAAAUAUACAUUUGAAGCUGUGCAGAAAAUCAUAAUGGAGAUGGAAGGAAACAAGCUGUCAGCCAAAGUGCAAACUCUCAAAACACUGCUAGCACGUUCAUCAUUCUAAAAACGACAUUUUAGUGGCUGCCCAUACUAUUUCUUACUUACAAAGAUUGUUAGUUUCAUUUGCACUUUAAAGCAGUUUGUAAGAUGUAUUUGAUGUCUUAACUUUAUAACAAUUUUGAAAGCAAAAAGCUUUUAGUGGGCUGAGGAGAUUUAAGAGAAGUAUGGGAACAACAAUGUGACAUACUGAAGAUUGGAUAUCCAAGGACACCUUUUCUUUAUAUUUUAGGAGUUAAAAUAUAUGUUUGAAGCUGUUCAGGAUCUGCAAGGAAACGGGUGGUCAGCCAAACUUUCAAAACACAGCUGGUAGCUAAGUUUGGAUUUGGGAGAAUUCUAGCCUCAUCAGUUUAUUAAAGAUUUCAUAUUACAUUUUUCAACUUUUUCACUGUUUCAUCACGUCAGUCAAAAGCUUUUAGUGUGCCAAGCAGAUUUAAAAGAAAUAUGUGAACAGCAAUGUAAAAAACUGAAGACUGCAUAUAUCUUGUUGCAUCUUUUUCCUCGUUCUGUGAACUGUAAGGAGCGAUGACAUAUUGAGUAAAGUUGCACUUUAGUAUUUUUUUUUUUUUUACUCAUAAAAACACAUGGUUUUCAUUUUUUUUUUUUUUUUUUUUUGUAUUUAGUUGUAUCCACUUAGAUCUAUGUAAAUGUGCUGUAAGAAUGUUGACCUCCUUGGCAGGAGUACCAUUAAGGGUAUUGUUUUUUGUUUCAUUAUAACCUUAGUUAACCUCAUUUUGUUUUUCAUAAAGUAAGCACUACAAAUUCAUGUUUUUAGAAACUGUGUGCUGUUGUUUUAUGUUUUAUUAAUGUAAUUACGGAGUUUUGGUAAACCAUUGUCAACAUGUAAGACUAAACGGUCUUUACACAAAUAAGAGUUUGAUUGAAAGCAAAUAAGCUGUGUUUUUAUUCCAACUUUUGGCACCACACAUAAGAAGUAAAUAGUACAUGGACAGUGCUUUUAUCCAAAGCACUUUAAUACGCGUCAGAUUCAGCCAUUCACACCAGGGCUGAACGAUAUAGACAAAAUAUU